UACGUAGGGUGCAAGCGUUGUCCGGAAUUAUUGGGCGUAAAGAGCGUGUAGGCUGCUUUACAGGUCCGUUGUGAAAACUCGAGGCUCAACCUCGAGACGCCGGUGGAAACCGUAAAGCUAGAGUCCGGAAGAGGAGAGUGGAAUUCCUGGUGUAGCGGUGAAAUGCGCAGAUAUCAGGAGGAACACCCGUGGCGAAAGCGGCUCUCUGGGACGGUACUGACGCUGAGACGCGAAAGCGUGGGGAGCAAACAGG
rnacentral:rRNA from 1 species